rnacentral:rRNA from 1 species
GGAGUCUGGGCCGUGUCUCAGUCCCAAUGUGGCCGUUCAACCUCUCAGUCCGGCUACUGAUCGUCGACUUGGUGAGCCGUUACCUCACCAACUAUCUAAUCAGACGCGAGCCCAUCUCUGAGUGAUGAAUCUUUGAUAACAAAGUCAUGCGGCUUCGUUAUGUUAUGAGGUAUUACCAUCCGUUUCCAGAAGCUAUCCCUCUCUCAGAGGCAGGUUGCUCACGUGUUACUCACCCGUCCGCCACUAAGAACUCUCAGUAAACCAAAAGUUCUCCGUUCGACUUGCAUGUGUUAAGCGUGCCGCCAGCGUUCGUCCUCGAGCCACGGAUCAAACUCU